rnacentral:misc_RNA from 1 species
UACUCUCACACUCCAAUUUUGGAGAAGUGGACUUGGGUGUUGCUGCUUUGCAGUGGCUCAUCUUAAAUACGCUAGUGCAACUCAUAGUUGGAUAUAGUACAGCGUGAUAAGUAUCUUCGCUGGCGCCUCAUGAAGUGGGUAUCCGAUUGGGAGCUCUGUGCUUCUAACAGUCCUGUCUGGGACAAUCUCUGACA